CCCAACUAUCCCUAUUAAUCAUUACGGUAAUUCCAGCUCCAAUAGCGUAUAUUAAAGUUGUUGCAGUUAAAAAGCUCGUAGUUGAACUUCGGGGUCUACCCAUUGGUCAGGCUUAAUUGUCUGCACUGGUAGGAUGGAUCUCUACCUUCUGAGGAACUUUCAUGCCAUUUAUUUGGUGUGAUGGGAAAUCAGGACUGUUACUUUGAAAAAAUUAGAGUGUUUAAAGCAGACUAUCGUCUGAAUACAUUAGCAUGGAAUAAUGAAAUAGGACGGACUGAUUCUAUUUCGUUGGUUUCUAGGAUCACCGUAAUGAUUAAUAGGGAUAGUUGGGUAGUACCCGAGG
rnacentral:misc_RNA from 1 species